UGAGUAGCUGCUUACCAGCUGUGGCUUAUGAUGAGGUGCCUCUCUAAGGGCCCUUUGGAUGCGCUGCCCAGAAUGAAGUUGGUCCUGCUUGUCGGUUCCUUGUCGUUUUCAGAUGGCUGAUGGUGUUGUGGAGCUGUACGUGCUAAGAAGAACAGAAGUAGUUUUUGUGGACUGAGCUUUGUAGAUAUCUGCUAAAAAUUAUUGCUCUUUCUGCUCAUUAUUCCUUUGAGUCCUGCUUUCCUGGACACCAGCUGUCACAGAGGAAGUCUCCAGCUUUUUCGUCCCCUGCCUCCCUGGCUGGCUGAAGUUGCAGCAGCACGGUCUGGAGCGUCUCCUUCACCACCUGGAUCUCCCUCUGCAGAGACUGUGCAAGCUUUAUUAAGGAAUAAUUCCAUAGGGUGGAUUUUGAAGCUGGACAAGCAAACCAACAACCACGUUUCUGUGAAUGAAAGCUAAGGCCAUCUUCAACCACACUGAAGCCAGUGUUCCCUGAUGUACAGAUACAAUUACAGGGCAAGGACCCCAAACUGCAAAUGUAAAAGGCUCAAGGGAAAAAAAACAUAAGCUCAGCUCUAGAAGUAAUUCACCAAUUGGAGGAUUUACAAGAGAAUCAAAAAUACACUUUUUCAUGAGGAAUGAAACAGGUUGACACCAAAACAACUCACUUUAAAAACACAAUGCAGAGGAAGAAUAAUGCACAAGGACAGGCUUUAUCCUUUAUGGAGACCAUCCAUUAUGAAAUGUUGUUUUACCUAAACAUGAUGUCAACACAAUGUCAACAAAAGAAAGAUGGCCUCAGGUUAUGCAAUCAUAAAAUGUGAGUUUCUGCCUUUGAAAAAUUGUGACUACACCAAACCACAGUAAAGCCAUUCAAAAAUAUUGCUACUUCAGGUAGUUAAAGGCCUCUGAAAACCCUUUUGGCUGCUUUUGGUUCUGUUUCACUUCCUCAAAAUUUCAUCUCU